GAUGAACGCUAGCGGCAGGCUUAAUACAUGCAAGUCAAGGGGGUAGCAAUACAACCGGCGCACGGGUGAGUAGCGCGUACACAACAUAUCAUAUACUGGGGUAUAGCUUUGGGAAACUGAAGGUAAUCCCCCAUAACAUUGCGAGAGGGCAUCUGAUUGCAAUUAAAGUUUCGGCGGUAUAUGAUUGGUGUGCGUUUGAUUAGCUAGUUGGUAGGGUAACGGCCUACCAAGGCGACGAUCAAUAGCUGGCGUGAGAGCGCGACCAGCCACACUGGAACUGAGACACGGUCCAGACUCCUACGGGAGGCAGCAGUAGGGAAUAUUGGACAAUGGAGGAAACUCUGAUCCAGCCAUGCCGCGUGAUAGAUGAAGGCCCUCUGGGUUGUAAAUAUCUUUUAUCUGGGAAGAAACAAUCUUAAUCCUUAAGAUCUUGACGGUA
rnacentral:rRNA from 1 species